rnacentral:rRNA from 1 species
CCAAUAGCGUAUAUUAAAGUUGUUGCAGUUAAAAAGCUCGUAGUUGAAUUUCGGGAUCAGAUUGUCGGUCGUGCCUCGGUACGCACUGGCAUUAUUGGUUCCUACCUUCUGAAGAACCGCGAUGUCAUUAAUUUGGUGUCGUGGGGAAUCAGGACUGUUACUUUGAAAAAAUUAGAGUGUUUAAAGCAGGCGCACGCUUGAAUACAUUAGCAUGGAAUAAUGAAAUAGGACGUUUGAUUCUAUUUUGUUGGUUUCUAGGAUCGACGUAAUGAUUAAUAGGGAUGGUUGGGGGCAUUAGUAUUCAAUUGUCAGAGGUGAAAUUCUUGGAUUUAUUGAAGACUAACUACUGCGAAAGCAUUUGCCAAGGAUGUUUUCAUUAAUCAGGAACGAAAGUUAGGGGAUCGAAGACGAUCAGAUACCGUCGUAGUCUUAACCAUAAACUAUGCCGACUAGGGAUCGGAUGAUGUUAAUUUUUUAAUGACUCAUUCGGCGCCUUACG